AGCACGGGAGCUUGCUCCUGGUGGCGAGUGGCGAACGGGUGAGUAAUAUAUCGGAACGUGCCCAGUAGUGGGGGACAGCCCGGCGAAAGCCGGAUUAAUACCGCAUACGAUCUACGGAUGAAAGCGGGGGAUCGCAAGACCUCGCGCUAUUGGAGCGGCCGAUAUCUGAUUAGCUAGUUGGUGAGGUAAAGGCUCACCAAGGCGACGAUCAGUAGCUGGUCUGAGAGGACGACCAGCCACACUGGAACUGAGGCACGGUCCAGACUCCUACGGGAGGCAGCAGUGGGGAAUUUUGGACAAUGGGGGAAACCCUGAUCCAGCAAUGCCGCGUGAGUGAAGAAGGCCUUCGGGUUGUAAAGCUCUUUUGUCAGGGAAGAAACGGUUCUGGCUAAUAUCCAGAGCUAAUGACGGUACCUGAAGAAUAAGCACCGGCUAACUACGUGCCAGCAGCCGCGGUAAUACGUAGGGUGCGAGCGUUAAUCGGAAUUACUGGGCGUAAAGAGUGCGUAGGCGGUUGUGCAAGACAGAUGUGAAAUCCCCGGGCUUAACCUGGGAAUUGCAUUUGUGACUGCACGGCUAGAGUGUGUCAGAGGGGGGUAGAAUUCCACGUGUAGCAGUGAAAUGCGUAGAGAUGUGGAGGAAUACCGAUGGCGAAGGCAGCCCCCUGGGAUAACACUGA
rnacentral:rRNA from 1 species